UGGCAACUACCUUUUCCGCC
rnacentral:piRNA from 1 species